UAGUAACUGCGAGUGAAGCGGGAAAAGCUCAAAUUUAAAAUCUGGCGGUCUCUGGCCGUCCGAGUUGUAAUCUAGAGAAGUGUUACCCGCGCUGGACCGUGUACAAGUCCCCUGGAAUGGGGCGUCAUAGAGGGUGAGAAUCCCGUCUCUGACACGGACUACCAGGGCUUUGUGGUAUGCUCUCAAAGAGUCGAGUUGUUUGGGAAUGCAGCUCAAAAUGGGUGGUAAAUUCCAUCUAAAGCUAAAUAUUGGCGAGAGACCGAUAGCGAACAAGUACCGUGAGGGAAAGAUGAAAAGAACUUUGGAAAGAGAGUUAAACAGUACGUGAAAUUGCUGAAAGGGAAACGCUUGAAGUCAGUCGCGUUGGCCGGGAAUCAGCCUCGCUUUUGCGUGGUGUACUUUCUGGUUGACGGGUCAGCAUCAAUUUUGACCGCUGGAAAAAGGCUUGGGGAAUGUGGCAGCUCCGGCUGUGUUAUAGCCCCUUGUCACAUACAGCGGUUGGGAUUGAGGAACUCAGCACGCCGCAAGGCCGGGUUUCGACCACGUUCGUGCUUAGGAUGCUGGCAUAAUGGCUUUAAGCGACCCGUCUUGAAACACGGACCAAGGAGUCUAACAUGCCUGCGAGUGUUUGGGUGGAAAACCCGAGCGCGUAAUGAAAGUGAAAGUUGAGAUCCCUGUCGUGGGGAGCAUCGACGCCCGGACCAGAACUUUUGGGACGGAUCCGCGGUAGAGCAUGUAUGUUGGGACCCGAAAGAUGGUGAACUAUGCCUGAAUAGGGUGAAGCCAGAGGAAACUCUGGUGGAGGCUCGUAGCGAUUCUGACGUGCAAAUCGAUCGUCAAAUUUGGGUAUAGGGGCGAAAGACUAAU
rnacentral:rRNA from 1 species